UACAGAGGUCUCAAGCGUUGUUCGGAUUCAUUGGGCGUAAAGGGUGCGUAGGUGGCGCGCUAAGUCAGGUGUGAAAUUUCGGAGCUCAACUCCGAAACUGCAUUUGAUACUGGCGUGCUUGAGGACUGGAGAGGAGACUGGAAUUUACGAUGUAGCAGUGAAAUGCGUAGAGAUCGUAAGGAAGACCAGUGGCGAAGGCGGGUCUCUGGACAGUUCCUGACACUGAGGCACGAAGGCCAGGGGAGCAAACGGG
rnacentral:rRNA from 1 species